rnacentral:rRNA from 1 species
UGGGGAAUAUUGCACAAUGGGCGCAAGCCUGAUGCAGCCAUGCCGCGUGUAUGAAGAAGGCCUUCGGGUUGUAAAGUACUUUCAGCGGGGAGGAAGGCGAUAAGGUUAAUAACCUUGUCGAUUGACGUUACCCGCAGAAGAAGCACCGGCUAACUCCGUGCCAGCAGCCGCGGUAAUACGGAGGGUGCAAGCGUUAAUCGGAAUUACUGGGCGUAAAGCGCACGCAGGCGGUCUGUCAAGUCGGAUGUGAAAUCCCCAGGCUCAACCUGGGAACUGCAUUCGAAACUGGCAGGCUAGAGUCUUGUAGAGGGGGGUAGAAUUCCAGGUGUAGCGGUGAAAUGCGUAGAGAUCUGGAGGAAUACCGGUGGCGAAGGCGGCCCCCUGGACAAAGACUGACGCUCAGGUGCGAAAGCGUGGGGAGCAAACA